rnacentral:rRNA from 1 species
AAGGUUUCCAGGGGAAGGUUCGUCCGCCCUGGGUUAGUCGGGACCUAAGCUGAGGCCGAAAGGCGUAGGUGAUGGACAACAGGUUGAUAUUCCUGUACUACCGAUAACCGUUUGAGAGAAGGGAUGACACAGUAGGAUAAGCUAAGCACACUGUUGGUUAUGUGUGCCCAAGCAUUGAGGCAGUCAAAGUAGGCAAAUCCGCUUUGAUAAUGCUGGGAUGUGAUGGGGAGCGAAAUUUAGUAGCGAAGUAGCUGAUUUCACACUGUCAAGAAAAGU